rnacentral:rRNA from 1 species
UUUUUACAGGCUUAACACAUGCAAGUCGAGGGGCAGCAUGGUCUUAGCUUGCUAAGGCCGAUGGCGACCGGCGCACGGGUGAGUAACGCGUAUCCAACCUGCCUUACACUCUUGGACAGCCUUCUGAAAGGGAGAUUAAUACAAGAUGUUAUCAUGAGUAAGCAUUUUCGCAUGAUUAAAGGUUUACCGGUGUAAGAUGGGGAUGCGUUCCAUUAGAUAGUAGGCGGGGUAACGGUCCACCUAGUCUUCGAUGGAUAGGGGUUCUGAGAGGAAGGUCCCCCACAUUGGAACUGAGACACGGUCCAAACUCCUACGGGAGGCAGCAGUGAGGAAUAUUGGUCAAUGGACGAGAGUCUGAACCAGCCAAGUAGCGUGAAGGAUGAAGGUUCUAUGGAUUGUAAACUUCUUUUAUACGGGAAUAAACGAAUCCACGUGUGGAUUUUUGCAUGUACCGUAUGAAUAAGGAUCGGCUAACUCCGUGCCAGCAGCCGCGGUAAUACGGAGGAUCCGAGCGUUAUCCGGAUUUAUUGGGUUUAAAGGGAGCGUAGAUGGGUUGUUAAGUCAGUUGUGAAAGUUUGCGGCUCAACCGUAAAAUUGCAAUUGAUACUGGCAGUCUUGAGUACAGUUGAGGUAGGCGGAAUUCGUGGUGUAGCGGUGAAAUGCUUAGAUAUCACGAAGAACUCCGAUUGCGAAGGCAGCUUACUAACCUGUAACUGACAUUGAUGCUCGAAAGUGUGGGUAUCAAACAGGAUUAGAUACCCUGGUAGUCCACACGGUAAACGAUGAAUACUCGCUGUAGGCGAUAUACAGUCUGCGGCCAAGCGAAAGCAUUAAGUAUUCCACCUGGGGAGUACGCCGGCAACGGUGAAACUCAAAGGAAUUGACGGGGGCCCGCACAAGCGGAGGAACAUGUGGUUUAAUUCGAUGAUACGCGAGGAACCUUACCCGGGCUUAAAUUGCAACCGAAUAUGGCGGAAACGCUAUAGCUAGCAAUAGCGGUUGUGAAGGUGCUGCAUGGUUGUCGUCAGCUCGUGCCGUGAGGUGUCGGCUUAAGUGCCAUAACGAGCGCAACCCUUGCCGAUAGUUACUAACAGGUCAUGCUGAGGACUCUGUCGGGACUGCCAUCGUAAGAUGUGAGGAAGGUGGGGAUGACGUCAAAUCAGCACGGCCCUUACGUCCGGGGCUACACACGUGUUACAAUGGGGGGUACAGAGGGCUGCUACCACGCAAGUGGAUGCCAAUCCCAAAAACCUCUCUCAGUUCGGAUUGAAGUCUGCAACCCGACUUCAUGAAGCUGGAUUCGCUAGUAAUCGCGCAUCAGCCACGGCGCGGUGAAUACGUUCCCGGGCCUUGUACACACCGCCCGUCAAGCCAUGGGAGCCGGGGGUACCUGAAGUGCGUAACCGCAAGGAGCGCCCUAGGGUAAAACUGGUGACUGGGGCUAAG